rnacentral:rRNA from 1 species
UACGUAGGGGGCAAGCGUUGUCCGGAUUCAUUGGGCGUAAAGAGCGUGUAGGCGGCCAGGUAGGUCGGUUGUGAAAACUGGAGGCUCAACCUUCAGAGGUCGACCGAAACCAUCUGGCUUGAGACCGGAAGAGGUUAGUGGAACUGCGAGUGUAGAGGUGAAAUUCGUAGAUAUUCGCAAGAACACCAGUGGCGAAGGCGGCUGACUGGUCCGGUUCUGACGCUGAGGUGCGAAAGCGUGGGGAGCAAACAGG